GACGAACGCUGGCGGCAUGCCUAACACAUGCAAGUCGAACGAGAUCUUCGGGUCUAGUGGCGCGCGGGUGCGUAACGCGUGGGAAUCUGCCCUUUGGUUCGGAAUAACAGUUGGAAACGACUGCUAAUACCGGAUGAUGACGAAAGUCCAAAGAUUUAUCGCCAGAGGAUGAGCCCGCGUAGGAUUAGCUAGUUGGUGUGGUAAAGGCGCACCAAGGCGACGAUCCUUAGCUGGUCUGAGAGGAUGAUCAGCCACACUGGGACUGAGACACGGCCCAGACGCCUACGGGAGGCAGCAGUGGGGAAUAUUGGACAAUGGGCGAAAGCCUGAUCCAGCAAUGCCGCGUGAGUGAUGAAGGCCUUAGGGUUGUAAAGCUCUUUUACCCGGGAUGAUAAUGACAGUACCGGGAGAAUAAGCUCCGGCUAACUCCGUGCCAGCCGCCGCGGUAA
rnacentral:rRNA from 1 species